AUCUAGGGGAUCUGGUUGUGGUUCUUCAGUUGCUUGUCGACCAAUAUCUGCUAUGUCUUCGAAUGAUAGCUUGAGGCCUAGGUGUGCUUGAAUUGCAGCAACAUCCUGAACAACUGAUUUCAGGGAUGUUUGGAUAGAUGUUAAAGUAGCUUCCAUCCUUGCAUUAGACUCUAAUAGUUUGGCAUUGUGUGCCAUCUGUGCUGCCAUAAAUUCCAUCAACUUUGUAACAUAUGCAGGAGGCUCAGCUGCAGAUUCAGAGGCUUGUGGAGGAGUUGGCUCAACAUUUGGC
rnacentral:lncRNA from 1 species